GUCAUCCCAGAGAUCCACGACACAAGGAUAAGUUCAUCAAACACCUGACAGGUCCUCUCUACUUCAACCCAAAGUGCAGAAAACAUUUCAACAGACUUUACCACAACACCAGGGACUGCACCGUACCUGCCUAUUAUAAAAGAUGUGCUCGUCUGCUGACUCAACUGGCCAACAGCCCUCGCUGUACAGAGAGAUAAACAGACUGAGAGACGCCUCCGGACAGGCAGUGGACGCCGUGACAACGAGGAGGGCGGGGCGUCCAGCCAAUAGAAGCUCCUCUGAGGUCGUCUCCUGCAACCAAUGAGCUCACCUGACUUUGAUCCAAAACCAGCGAUCAGAGUGCGCUGUUUUCUAUUCUAUUCUAUUCUUUAAAAUUCGUUUAGCUGCUAACUUUCCUCCUGCUGUUCCUCCGGGUUCUACCUUUGAGUAGAAAUGCAAUCUCCCCUACUCAACUUGAUUCUCCUUUCCGCUACUUGACUCACCUCCAGCACAGUUCCUUGACAGUUGAGGACACACUUGCACUGAGUUAAGCCGCGCCAAAACGUGAAUGGUUUUCCAUGUACACGACAGGUUGAAAUCACCAAUCACUUUGCCGAUUUGAAUCGUUUUGCUCGGUUCAGUACAAAGCUCCAUAGUUACGACCCCACAAGGUAAAAGAAGGCGCUUACCCUGACCAUUGACUGGAGGUUGUGCUGGCCAAUCUGUUUGUGCUAUUCCUCCCUGCAAUACUCAAAACCGAUCCCCUGACCAAACGUUGUGCUGAGCGCUUUUUAGUGGACAGUGGCACUGCUUAUGAUGCCCUGCUAAUGCGGUGACAAAACUUUUUUCCUGCAGCUGCUUCACAAUAAAAGCCUCCAGCUAGUUUGCAAGUGUAAGCAGCAGCAGCAGCAGGAGGAUAUUUUUACAUUUGGUUUACAUCUGUACUAACUUCAGCUUCGAAUCAGUUAAAUAAGGCUGUAAUCUUAAAAUACAAACACAAAUGUAGGAGUCAAACUAAACUGCGAGCCACAGAAAUUCAGGUAGAGCCUACCAGACAACAUCAGUUUAGAGGCCUGAUACCAAGCACAACAGUGCUACUCAGCACAACUCUCCAAUGCUGCCAGGCUCCAGUGGAAACAUAUGUUCAAAGCUCGGCCCUCGAACCAGGCCUGUGGAAAAAUACGACUACUUGACUCGGGUCUUCUGGAUUUGGCAUUUUUAUUUUAUUGUAUUUACUCAACUUCAUCAAACUUAAACCUGCAACAGCUGAUUUUUUUGUCCAGUUGUCUUCGGUAGAAAAAAGGAGUGAACACAACACUGUCAGAUCUUCACCUUUUCAGUCUACAUGCUGAACUUGUUAUCAAACAGCUGCUUAUUUCCACAUCCAGCAGCUACAGAGCAACUUGAUCCUUCAUCUGGAUCUGGUGUUUGUGUUCCCUA